UACAGAGGGUGCAAGCGUUGUUCGGAAUUAUUGGGCGUAAAGCGCGUGUAGGCGGCUUUGCAAGUCGGGUGUGAAAUCCCUCGGCUCAACCGAGGAAGUGCGCCCGAAACUGCAGAGCUUGAGUACCGGAGAGGAUGGUGGAAUUCCCCAAGUAGAGGUGAAAUUCGUAGAUAUGGGGAGGAACACCAGUGGCGAAAGCGGUUGCCUGGAGCUUUGCUGACGCUGAGGCGCGAAAGCGUGGGGAGCGAUCCGG
rnacentral:rRNA from 1 species